GCUGACGAGUGGCGAACGGGUGAGUAAGACAUCGGAACGUGCCCGAUCGAGGGGGAUAACGAAGCGAAAGCUUUGCUAAUACCGCAUAAGAUCCGAGGAUGAAAGCAGGGGACCGCAAGGCCUUGCGCGGACGGAGCGGCCGAUGGCAGAUUAGGUAGUUGGUGGGAUAAAAGCCUACCAAGCCGACGAUCUGUAGCUGGUCUGAGAGGACGACCAGCCACACUGGGACUGAGACACGGCCCAGACUCCUACGGGAGGCAGCAGUGGGGAAUUUUGGACAAUGGGCGCAAGCCUGAUCCAGCCAUGCCGCGUGCAGGAUGAAGGCCCUCGGGUUGUAAACUGCUUUUGUACGGAACGAAAAGGCCCUGGUGAACAGCUGGGGUUGCUGACGGUACCGUAAGAAUAAGCACCGGCUAACUACGUGCCAGCAGCCGCGGUAAUACGUAGGGUGCGAGCGUUAAUCGGAAUUACUGGGCGUAAAGCGUGCGCAGGCGGACAUGCAAGACAGAUGU
rnacentral:rRNA from 1 species